UGGGGAAUAUUGGACAAUGGGCGAAAGCCUGAUCCAGCCAUGCCGCGUGUGUGAAGUAGGUCUUCGGAUUGUAAAGCACUUUAAGUUGGGAGGAAGGGCAGUAAGCGAAUACCUUGCUGUUUUGACGUUACCGACAGAAUAAGCACCGGCUAACUCUGUGCCAGCAGCCGCGGUAAUACAGAGGGUGCGAGCGUUAAUCGGAUUUACUGGGCGUAAAGCGUGCGUAGGCGGCUAAUUGAGUCGGAUGUGAAAUCCCCGAGCUUAACUUGGGAAUUGCAUUCGAUACUGGUUAGCUAGAGUGUGGGAGAGGAUGGUAGAAUUCCAGGUGUAGCGGUGAAAUGCGUAGAGAUCUGGAGGAAUACCGAUGGCGAAGGCAGCCAUCUGGCCUAACACUGACGCUGAGGUACGAAAGCGUGGGGAGCAAACAGG
rnacentral:rRNA from 1 species